AUACAGAGGGUGCAAGCGUUAAUCGGAAUUACUGGGCGUAAAGCGCGCGUAGGCGGUUUGUUAAGUUGGAUGCGAAAGCCCCGGGCUUAACCUGGGAGGGUCAUUCAAAACUGGCAGACUAGAGUGUGGUAGAGGGUAGUGGAAUUCCUAGUGUAGCGGUGAAAUGCGUAGAGAUUAGGAGGAACACCAGUGGCGAAGGCGACUGCCUGGACCAACACUGACGCUGAGGUGCGAAAGCGUGGGUAGCGAACAGGAUUAGAAACCCGAGUAGUCC
rnacentral:rRNA from 1 species